rnacentral:rRNA from 2 species
GGGUGCGAUCAUACCAGCACUAAUGCACCGGAUCCCAUCAGAACUCCGCAGGGAAGCGUGCUUGGGUGAGAGUAGUACUAGGAUUGGUGACCUCCUAGGAAGUCCUCGUGUUGCACCUC